rnacentral:lncRNA from 1 species
GUGAGUAACUGCAAGCUACAGGGGGCAGCUUACGUAUGGCACACAGGGUGGGGCUAGCUUGGUUUCAUAGGCUCUCUGUGGAUUGGAUGAUUUAAAUAAUUUUGGUGGGCCCUGGGGUUUAGGGACUGUCCCUAGUUGUUUGGUGCUAGGUCCCAGGGCAGAUUAGGGCAGAUGUGAGUGUGAGAGCAUGAUAAGGAAAGUCUUCAAGGUGUGGAAUUACUCAACUGCUGGAGAAAGGGAAUUUAUCAGCCUUUAGCCAGGGCCUCAAACUGGGUCAAGACAGCACAAUUACAAAAAAAAAGAAAAAAAAAAACAGAAUAAGAAAGAAAAGAAAACCCUAUAUUGUAGACUAAGAGACUAUUUCUGUGCAUAAAUACCCUCAUAAACAUUACAAACCAAAAGAUGGAGGUAAUCACCAAGAGCCAGCAUUGGUUCAUUAAGAAUGAAUGAUGCAAAUUUUGUGUUUUAGAUCAGGAGUCCCCUGAUCUAACAGGUCACAGUACAGGUCCCUAGCCUGUUAGGAACAGGGCUGUACAGCAGGAGGUGAGCAGCAGGCCAGCGAGGGAAGCUUCAUCUGUAUUUACAGCUGCUCCCCA